rnacentral:rRNA from 1 species
UGGGGGAUAUUGCACAAUGGGGGAAACCCUGAUGCAGCGACGCCGCGUGUAGGAAGACGGUCCUCUGGAUUGUAAACUACUGUCUUCGGGGACGAUAAUGACGGUACCCGAGGAGGAAGCUCCGGCUAACUACGUGCCAGCAGCCGCGGUAAUACGUAGGGAGCGAGCGUUGUCCGGAAUCACUGGGUGUAAAGGGAGCGUAGGCGGGAAGGUAAGUUGGGUGUGAAAACUAUUGGCUCAACCGGGACACUGCCAUUGAAACUGUCGAUCUAGAGUGUACAAGAGGUAAGCGGAAUGCGUGGUGUAGCGGUGAAAUGCAUAGAUAUCACGCAGAACCCCGAUUGCGAAGGCAGCUUACUGGUGUACAACUGACGCUGAGGCACGAAAGCGUGGGUAUCAAACA